GCCAUCCAUCGAAGAAGAACGCAGCAAAACUAUAAAAUUAUUGAGAAAAAAA
rnacentral:rRNA from 1 species